CCUACGGGAGGCUGCAGUGGGGAAUAUUGCGCAAUGGGGGAAACCCUGACGCAGCGACGCCGCGUGGGUGAUGAAGGCCUUCGGGUCGUAAAGCCCUGUCGGAGGGGAAGAAGGACUCUCGUGCAAAUAGUUCGAGGGUUUGACGGUACCCUUAGAGGAAGCACCGGCUAACUCCGUGCCAGCAGCCGCGGUAAUACGGAGGGUGCAAGCGUUGCUCGGAAUUACUGGGCCGAAUGGGCGUGUAGGCCGUGAAAGCCCCGGGCUCACCUCGGGAAGUGCGUCGGAAACUGCGAGACUAGAGUCCCGGAGAGGGAGGUGGAAUUCCAGGUGUAGCGGUGAAAUGCGUAGAUAUCUGGAAGAACACCGGUGGCGAAAGCGGCCUCCUGGACGGUGACUGACGCUGAGACGCGAAAGCGUGGGGAGCAAACAGGAUUAGAUACCCCUGUAGUC
rnacentral:rRNA from 1 species